rnacentral:rRNA from 1 species
UUUAUUGGAGAGUUUGAUCCUGGCUCAGGACGAACGCUGGCGGCGUGCCUAAUACAUGCAAGUCGAGCGGGAUCGAUGGAGUGCUUGCACUCCUGAGAUUUAGCGGCGGACGGGUGAGUAACACGUAGGCAACCUGCCCUCAAGACUGGGAUAACUACCGGAAACGGUAGCUAAUACCGGAUAGGAUAUUUGGCUGCA